rnacentral:tRNA from 1 species
GCCACUGUGGCUCAGAGGCAGAGCGACUGAUUCGUAAUCAGUUGGUCGGGGGUUCAAUUCCCUCCAGUGGCUCCA